CGAAGCGCUUAAACGGAUUUCUUCGGAUUGAAGUUUUUGUGACUGAGUGGCGGACGGGUGAGUAACGCGUGGGUAACCUGCCUCAUACAGGGGGAUAACAGUUAGAAAUGACUGCUAAUACCGCAUAAGCGCACAGUGCUGCAUGGCACAGUGUGAAAAACUCCGGUGGUAUGAGAUGGACCCGCGUCUGAUUAGCUAGUUGGUGGGGUAACGGCCUACCAAGGCGACGAUCAGUAGCCGGCCUGAGAGGGUGAACGGCCACAUUGGGACUGAGACACGGCCCAAACUCCUACGGGAGGCAGCAGUGGGGAAUAUUGCACAAUGGGGGAAACCCUGAUGCAGCGACGCCGCGUGAGCGAAGAAGUAUUUCGGUAUGUAAAGCUCUAUCAGCAGGGAAGAAAAUGACGGUACCUGACUAAGAAGCACCGGCUAAAUACGUGCCAGCAGCCGCGGUAAUACGUAUGGUGCAAGCGUUAUCCGGAUUUACUGGGUGUAAAGGGAGCGUAGACGGUUGUGUAAGUCUGAUGUGAAAGCCCGGGGCUCAACCCCGGGACUGCAUUGGAAACUAUGUAACUAGAGUGUCGGAGAGGUAAGCGGAAUUCCUAGUGUAGCGGUGAAAUGCGUAGAUAUUAGGAGGAUCACCAGUGGCGAAGGCGG
rnacentral:rRNA from 1 species